AUAUUUUUGACGUUUCGCUGUAUCGACUUUUCACAUCGCAGCAGGCACGAAAAAAUAUUUACUCGGCGGGUCUAGGUUUUUCUGGUAGGAACAUCAUCUGGGUCAACGAGUUACAGCGUCACUGACUUAGAAGAGCUGAAAUCCGACUGCAAGGUGACCAUUGUCGGCGGGGGAUUUAUCGGCAGUGAAUUGUUUUGCGCGUUGGCCUAGCUCAGCCACAGUUUAAAGAAGACCUUCGAGGGGCAGCAGUGUUCCGACCCUGGCUGCCACUGGCCCACUGGCCUGGUGUACGUGUCCCUCAACGAGAUCAUCUUUAAGCAGAGCAAAUCCAUCAAGUACAUCCUGAAACAACUCCGCCACACCGAUCGCGUCCCAACGCCUUCCCUUAUCCCGGUCCUGAAAUUCUUCGCCAAGGUCAAAUACCGGCGUACAACGUCCCCGGCCAGAAGCCAACCGUCGUCGACUCCCGGAUACAGAUAUGGACGCCGUGCCGGGGGGACGAUCUGGCGAUGCCGUGUGAUUCCUAGAUUCGAAGCUGGGUCAACGACGGGUAGAACAUCACGAACCUGUGGUCGUAAUGGGAUGACUUGCCGGUGAGAUUAUGGCCGAAAAUAGCAACCCAAGAUACAGCAGAGCAUGUUUUGGUCGGACCUGAACCCCAUAAUCGGCUACGAGGCCAUCGCCCCCCCCCCCCUCCCCCCAUCGGUCUUUGCUAAGGUUAAUCCCGGGCAUGAGCGAAAAGCUGCAGGCGGCCAACGCCAUCAUCAUUCCUGCUUCGGCUACCUCGACGACCACCAGCAAUUUCUCCGUGCUUAAUCACAGCAGUCUGGUGAAUGCGGAACAGUUUCAUCUGGCUGGAACGGCGCGCAAGAUUGUCGCCCAGCUCACGUUGUCCAGCAUGACCUGCCGGCGGUGGAGGAGGCGAAAAGUGUGUUAAAGAGUUGCUAUUAAAAAUUUAUUUGAAGUAGUCA